UGCCGGAUCGUCUAAUUGGUAGGACACCCGCCUCUGGAGCGGGCAGUUGCAGGUUCGAAUCCUGCUCCGGCAG
rnacentral:tRNA from 1 species